ACUCCUACGGGAGGCAGCAGUGGGGAAUAUUGCACAAUGGGGGAAACCCUGAUGCAGCAACGCCGCGUGAAGGAAGACGGUUUUCGGAUUGUAAACUUCUGUUCUUAGUGAAGAAUAAUGACGGUAGCUAAGGAGCAAGCCACGGCUAACUACGUGCCAGCAGCCGCGGUAAUACGUAGGUGGCAAGCGUUGUCCGGAAUUACUGGGUGUAAAGGGAGCGUAGGCGGGAUGCCAAGUCAGCUGUGAAAACUAUGGGCUUAACCUGUAGACUGCAGUUGAAACUGGUAUUCUUGAGUGAAGUAGAGGUUGGCGGAAUUCCGAGUGUAGCGGUGAAAUGCGUAGAUAUUCGGAGGAACACCGGUGGCGAAGGCGGCCAACUGGGCUUUAACUGACGCUGAGGCUCGAAAGUGUGGGGAGCAAACAGGAUUAGAUACCCUGGUAGUCCACACUGUAAACGAUGAUAACUAGGUGUGGGGGGUCUGACCCCUUCCGUGCCGCAGCUAACGCAAUAAGUUAUCCACCUGGGGAGUACGACCGCAAGGUUGAAACUCAAAGGAAUUGACGGGGACCCGCACAAGCAGUGGAUUAUGUGGUUUAAUUCGAAGCAACGCGAAGAACCUUACCAGCACUUGACAUCCGACUAACGAAGUAGAGAUACAUUAGGUGCCCUUCGGGGAAAGUCGAGACAGGUGGUGCAUGGUUGUCGUCAGCUCGUGUCGUGAGAUGUUGGGUUAAGUCCCGCAACGAGCGCAACCCCUGCCAUUAGUUGCUACGCAAGAGCACUCUAAUGGGACCGCUACCGACAAGGUGGAGGAAGGUGGGGACGACGUCAAAUCAUCAUGCCCCUUAUGUGCUGGGCUACACACGUAAUACAAUGGCCAUCAACAAAGAGAAGCAAUACCGCGAGGUGGAGCAAAACUUCAAAAAUGGUCUCAGUUCGGACUGCAGGCUGCAACCCGCCUGCACGAAGUUGGAAUUGCUAGUAAUCGUGGAUCAGCAUGCCACGGUGAAUACGUUCCCGGGUCUUGUACACACCGCCCGUCACACCAUGGGAGUUGGUAACACCCGAAGUCAGUAGUCUAACCGCAAGGAGGACGCUGCCGAAGGUGGGAUUGACGACUGGGGUGAAGUCGUAACAAGGUAGCCGUAUCAGAAGGUGCGGCUG
rnacentral:rRNA from 1 species